rnacentral:rRNA from 1 species
CUAGUACGGCGAGUGAGCAGCAAUAGCUCAAAUUUGAAAUCUGGCGUCUUCGACGUCCGAGUUGUAAUUUGUAGAGGAUGCUUCUGAGUAACCACCGACCUAAGUUCCUUGGAACAGGACGUCAUAGAGGGUGAGAAUCCCGUAUGCGGUCGGAAAGGUGCUCUAUACGUAGCUCCUUCGACGAGUCGAGUUGUUUGGGAAUGCAGCUCUAAAUGGGAGGUAAAUUUCUUCUAAAGCUAAAUAUUGGCCAGAGACCGAUAGCGCACAAGUAGAGUGAUCGAAAGAUGAAAAGCACUUUGGAAAGAGAGUUAAAAAGCACGUGAAAUUGUUAAAAGGGAAGGGAUUGCAACCAGACUUGCUCGCGGUGUUCCGCCGGUCUUCUGACCGGUCUACUCGCCGCGUUGCAGGCCAGCAUCGUCUGGUGCCGCUGGAUAAGACUUGAGGAAUGUAGCUCCCUCGGGAGUGUUAUAGCCUCUUGUGAUGCAGCGAGCGCCGGGCGAGGUCCGCGCUUCGGCUAGGAUGCUGGCGUAAUGGUCGUAAUCCGCCCGU